rnacentral:rRNA from 1 species
GACGAACGCUGGCGGCGUGCUUAACACAUGCAAGUCGAGCGGUAAGGCCCUUUCGGGGGUACACGAGCGGCGAACGGGUGAGUAACACGUGGGUGACCUGCCCUCAGCUCUGGGAUAAGCCUGGGAAACCGGGUCUAAUACUGGAUAUGACUCCAUGACGCAUGUUGUGGGGUGGAAAGCCUUGUGCGGCUGAGGAUGGGCCCGCGGCCUAUCAGCUUGUUGGUGGGGUGANGGCCUACCAAGGCGACGACGGGUAGCCGGCCUGAGAGGGCGACCGACCACACUGGGACUGAGACACGGCCCAGACUCCUACGGGAGGCAGCAGUGGGGAAUCUUGCGCAAUGGGCGAAAGCCUGACGCAGCGACGCCGCGUGAGGGAUGACGGCCU